UACGUAGGGGGCAAGCGUUGUCCGGAUUUAUUGGGCGUAAAGAGCUCGUAGGCGGUUUGGUAAGUCUGGUGUGAAAUCUCCACGCUCAACGUGGAGGGGCCACCCGAUACUGCCAUGACUGGAGUCCGGUAGAGGAGUGUGGAAUUCCCGGUGUAGCGGUGAAAUGCGCAGAUAUCAGGAAGAACACCAAUGGCGAAAGCAGCUCUCUGGGACGGUACUGACGCUGAGACGCGAAAGCGUGGGGAGCGAACAGG
rnacentral:rRNA from 1 species